ACUGCUAUUGGGAUUCGAUUAAGCCAUGCGAGUCGAGAGGGUUCGGCCCUCGGCGGACUGCUCAGUAACACGUGGAUAAUCUGCCCUUAGGUGGAGCAUAACCUCGGGAAACUGAGAAUAAUACUCCAUAGGUCUAGGAUGCUGGAAUGCGUCUAGGCUCAAAGAUUUAUCGCCUAAGGAUGAGUCUGCGGACUAUCAGGUUGUAGUCAGGGUAAAGUCCUGACUAGCCUACGACGGAUACGGGUUGUGAGAGCAAUAACCCGGAGACGAUAUCUGAGACACGAUAUCGGGCCCUACGGGGCGCAGCAGGCGCGAAACCUUCACACUGUGCGAAAGCGCGAUGAGGGGAUCCCAAGUGCUUGCUCUUAGGAGUAAGCUGUUUUCCUGUUUAAAUCGCAGGAAGAGGAAGGGCUGGGUAAGACGGGUGCCAGCCGCCGCGGUAAUACCUGCAGCUCAAGUGGUGACCGCUAUUAUUGGGCCUAAAACGUCCGUAGCCGGGCUGAGUAAAUGCCUGGGUAAAUCGUGCCGCUUAACGGUACGAAUUCCGGGUAGACUGCUUAGCUUGAGACCGGGAGAAGCUAGAGGUACUCCUGGGGUAGAGGUGAAAUUCUGUAAUCCUGGGGGGACCACCAGUGGCGAAAGCGUCUAGCUAGAACGGGUCUGACGGUGAGGGACGAAACCCUGGGGCGCGAACCGGAUUAGAUACCCGGGUAGUCCAGGGCGCAAACGCUGCUUGCUUGAUGUUAGCUGGGCUCCGAGCUCAGCUAGUGUCGGAGAGAAGUUGUUAAGCAAGCUGCCUGGGAAGUACGAUCGCAAGAUUGAAACUUAAAGGAAUUGGCGGGGGAGCACAGCAACGGGUGGAGCGUGCGGUUUAAUUGGAUUCAACGCCGGAAAACUCACCGGAGGCGACGGUUACAUGAAGGCCAGGCUGAUGACCUUGCCUGAUUUUCCGAGAGGUGGUGCAUGGCCGCCGUCAGUUCGUACCGUAAGGCGUUCUGUUAAGUCAGAUAACGAACGAGACCCUCAUCCUUAAUUGCUACUAAUAACUCCGGUUAUUAGGCACAUUAAGGAGACCGCUGACGAUAAGUCAGGGGAAGGCGAGGGCAACGGUAGGUCAGUAUGCCCUGAAUCCUC
rnacentral:rRNA from 1 species